GACGAACGCUGGCGGCGUGCUUAACACAUGCAAGUCGAACGGAAAGGCCCUGCUUUUGUGGGGUGCUUGAGUGGCGAACGGGUGAGUAACACGUGAGUAACCUGACCUUGACUUUGGGAUAACUUCAGGAAACUGGGGCUAAUAUCGGAUAGGAGCUUCUGCCGCAUGGUGGGGGUUGGAAAGUUUAGGCGGUUGGGGAUGGACUUGCGGCUUAUCAGCUUGUUGGUGGGGUAGUGGCUUACCAAGGCUUGGACGGGUAGCCGGCCUGGGAGGGUGACCAGCCAGAUUGGGACUGGGAUACGGCCCAGAGUCCUGCGGGAGGCAGCAGUGGGGAAUAUUGCACAAUGGGCGGACGCCUGAUGCAGCAACGCCGCGUGCGGGAUAACGGCCUUCGGGUUGGAAGCCGCUUUCGCCUGUGACGAAGCGUGAGUGACGGUAAUGGGUAAAGAAGCACCGGCUAACUACGUG
rnacentral:rRNA from 1 species